AUUGAACGCUGGCGGCAUGCCUUACACAUGCAAGUCGAACGGUAACGGGCCUUCGGGUGCCGACGAGUGGCGAACGGGUGAGUAAUGUAUCGGAACGUACCUUUCAGUGGGGGAUAACGUAGCGAAAGUUACGCUAAUACCGCAUAUUCUGUGAGCAGGAAAGCAGGGGAUCGCAAGACCUUGCGCUGAUUGAGCGGCCGAUAUCAGAUUAGCUAGUUGGUGAGGUAAAGGCGCACCAAGGCGAUGAUCUGUAGCGGGUCUGAGAGGAUGAUCCGCCACACUGGAACUGAGACACGGUCCAGACUCCUACGGGAGGCAGCAGUGGGGAAUUUUGGACAAUGGGGGCAACCCUGAUCCAGCCAUGCCGCGUGAGUGAAGAAGGCCUUCGGGUUGUAAAGCUCUUUCGGCCGGGAAGAAAUCGUAUCAGCUAAUACCUGGUGCGGAUGACGGUACCGGCAUAAGAAGCACCGGCUAACUACGUGCCAGCCGCCGCCGUAAUAC
rnacentral:rRNA from 1 species